AGGACGAACGCUGGCGGCGUGCUUAACACAUGCAAGUCGAACGGUGACCUUGGAGCUUGCUCCAGGCGAUCAGUGGCGAACGGGUGAGUAACACGUGAGUAACCUGCCCCUCACUCUGGGAUAACCCCGGGAAACCGGAGCUAAUACCGGAUACGACUCAAGUAGGCAUCUACAUUGAGUGGAAAGUUUUUCGGUGGGGGAUGGACUCGCGGCCUAUCAGCUUGUUGGUGAGGUAAUGGCCCACCAAGGCGACGACGGGUAGCCGGCCUGAGAGGGCGACCGGCCACACUGGGACUGAGACACGGCCCAGACUCCUACGGGAGGCAGCAGUGGGGAAUAUUGCACAAUGGGCGAAAGCCUGAUGCAGCGACGCCGCGUGAGGGAUGAAGGCCUUCGGGUUGUAAACCUCUUUCAGCAGGGAGAAGCGAAAGUGACGGUACCUGCAGAAGAAGCACCGGCUAACUACGCGCCAGCAGCCGCGGU
rnacentral:rRNA from 1 species